rfam:Myotis lucifugus cont2.47567, whole genome shotgun sequence.
GGUGGUUUUCAGGUGACACACCCUGGAAUCGGGCUCCCUCCUCUCUGGUUCCAGGUGCGUCAGAGGGUUGUG